rnacentral:rRNA from 1 species
GACGAACGCUGGCGGCGCGCCUAACACAUGCAAGUCGAACGGAGCUUAGAGAGCUUGCUUUUUAAGCUUAGUGGCGAACGGGUGAGUAACGCGUGAGUAACCUGCCCUAGAGUGGGGGACAACAGUUGGAAACGACUGCUAAUACCGCAUAAGCCCACGGUACCGCAUGGCACUGAGGGAAAAGGAUUUAUUCGCUUUAGGAUGGACUCGCGUCCAAUUAGCUAGUUGGUGAGGUAACGGCCCACCAAGGCGACGAUUGGUAGCCGGACUGAGAGGUUGAACGGCCACAUUGGGACUGAGACACGGCCCAGACUCCUACGGGAGGCAGCAGUGGGGGAUAUUGCACAAUGGGGGAAACCCUGAUGCAGCAACGCCGCGUGGAGGAAGAAGGUUUUCGGAUCGUAAACUCCUGUCCUUGGAGACGAGUAGAAGACGGUAUCCAAGGAGGAAGCCCCCGGCUAACUACGUG